UUACCCUCAUGCACUCGCAGCACCCGUGUCGCAACGGCGAGUUCACCUGCAGCAACGGCCGUUGUAUCAACAUGGCGACUGGUCUGCGAAGCUGGGAUGUACGACAACUGCGGGGACCACUCCGACGUCUGUCACCUCGGCGUCAACAUGAUCAUCAGCAUCGUCGUCGCAGUUGUCCUCGCCAUCCUCGUCAUAUUCCUCGUCGGCUUGUCCCUGUGGUACAGGAUGCACAGCCCCACGCAGCGAGAAGAGAGAAGACAAGAGAUCUUGUUCAUGAGAAUAUUAUGAGAACACCACUCUGUGGGAGGCUACACAUGUUUCCGAAGACUGAUAUUGUUAAAAAAAAAGAACAAAAAGAACAAAAACAGAGUUCCCUCCAUGUACUUCAACUGCGCUUCAAGACAGACAGUGCGUGACGUCAGCAAGUCGUUGUUGCUAAGGCAACAACUUUUUUUAACAAGCAGGCGGCCGGAGGAGGGAGGACUGUCAAGAGAACUUCUUCCGGGCGUAGUGGCCCUGGUGUAACCAAGGGCAACGGAGCGCGCAGACGACAGAAUGUGGCCAGACAGCAGUGAUAAGACUUAUUUUAUUGUCAAUCGUCAUCUGUGAAGGAAACAGACUUUCUGUCGCUGGAACAGACAUUUUCGUUGACAAACUUUAUUUGUAAAGACUUGUUGGGACUUGACUAACUUUUGCUAAGCUGCCAAGAUGAAGUGAGUGUUAAAUGCGAGUGAGUAAGCACGAGAGUGAGUGAGUGAGUGGUGUGCAGGAGUUUGUACGAGCAUGAACUUUUUGCUCAUUUGUACAUAUUUAUAUGUAUAAAAGAAAUUAAAAUAUUUCUUUGUCUAUGUACAUAUCCAAUUUUUGCUAGCAUUUAUUUCAUCCGAUAUGAGAUGAUCUGUCAACGGGAUGUUAUUACAUUCAUACGUACAGUAAGUAUUGUUGCCAAUAUCAUGUAAGUAUUGAUACCAAGAAAUUGUAAGUAUUGAUUACAAAAAAACUAGUCAAAGAUUUCCUCGAAACCUAAACGAAGUUAAACUCACAUCUUCAAACUGUGUGGUGGGUGUUGUCGGUUCAUAUGAUUAGAAAAGAAGACAAUUUUCGUAACAUUUUUCUUUGGGCAGAAAAUAUAUGGCAUCGGCAUUCAUUCUCUUCCUCCUUCUGAAUGAAUCUUCGAAAAUCAAAAAUACUUUUUAAGAGGUGGCUUUUAAUUCAGUUAUCUGUCGUUUGUAAGGUUCUUUACAUACACGACUGGUUAAUUAGAAAAAGGGAUCUGACCCCCCCCUAACAUGCAGCAACCUAUUUAGUCAGAGGACCGAGCGGUCAGUUCCAACUGCCCAAUUGCUUUAAAAAAAUGGCCGACACAUCUUUUGAAGGUUUUUGAUGCUAAAUACUCGCCGCACCCAGCUGUUCGUCAAUUCUCAAAGAAUGUUCUUUAGGCAUGAAAACUCAAAGCAUUUUCCGAUGGGGGUUUUGGGGGAACCACCCAAUUAAUUUUCGUUUUCGUGAAGACACGUGUCCAUAAGUCUUAGUGUCUUCAAAGAAAGUUAGCCUGAUACUUGAACUCUAUCGUUAAGCUCAAUCGGAAUCGGCAAUUCUCCCAGAAGCAGAUGGAUGAUGCCUUUUUAGUUCAGAACCGUUUUUCUGUCUUUGUUGUUAUCCUGUUAUUUGUUGAUCACAAGCGACAGUAGAAAACAAUGUAAUCGGAAAAUAUUCAGGUCAUAGAAGUCUUCCUUAUUUUAUCUACUUUUAAUUAGUUUUAAUAUGCAUAAAGGAGAGUGCGAUUUUGUUGUUCCUGUGAAUAACAGCAACACGGCUGGGAGCUUGUGUGAUGCUAGAACUUGUCUGGCUGUGGGUUUUUCGCUUUUCUUGUCCAUGGCGACAGCCCAUCAUGUGCUGACAGGUGUUGGCCAGUAAACUCAUCCUAACAUUCACACAUUAUUUUACUGAGUGGAAGCGCGUGUGUGUUGAAAAAAAGAUUUAGUCCAAGGAAGUUUCUGAAUAAUUUUCCUUUGGAUAAAGGAGAAAGGAUCAUCCAUCAAGUUCAUUGUAAGCUGUCCUUGGAAAACUUCGUUGCAGAAAUAUAAAUAUCACUCUCCACUCCUCAACCCCUCCUAUCAUUGCCUCUCUGCAGUAAAUAUGUAAUACAUGCUUUUAUCAUGUCAGGUGCUUUUUUCAGACGGUUUCCUAUUUUCUCGUUUUGCUAUUAUUGCUCAGUAUAAUUCCUGUCGUCUGCUAAAGUUAUUUCCGGGGACACAGGAAACGGAAUUGCUGAAAUGAGGUUGAAGUUUUCAGCUUUAUUAACGAUUCGCUCUAUAAAUACAAAGAUAUAUCAACACUGAGUUCUUAUUCUUUCACAUUGAGGUACUUAAUUGUUUAUUAACAACAGCAUAUUAAUCUGUAGUCCUUAGUCCACAAGGUCGACACAUUUCAAUGGAGAGGGAGGGACACAGUUUGUAAACAUUUGUCCAAGUCCAUAGUUUUGCUUUAACUAACGGCAAUAACAUUUUGGUGAAUGUCUGAGGUACACACUUGUGUGUAGGUGGUGCACACA